rnacentral:sRNA from 1 species
UAGAGGUCUCCUCCGCCCUUCUUGUUCUUCAAUCAG